UGUUAACUGAAUAGUCUGUCGUUUUUGAAAGUUUAGAUCCUUAUGAAAAUAUAAACAUUAUCCAGUCUGGUUGGACCGAUUCUAAAAAACAUAUUCCAAACAUAGUUGAUUCGAUGAUAAUUAAGACCAUUCUUUAUUUAAGGAAAUUUAUAAGAAAGAUACGUUAUUCUAUUUCUGUUUAUCUUGAGAUUUUUAUAUACAAAUCACUAUCCAAAAAAGGAAAUUGGGUAUUGUCGCAAAUUGGGCUCGUGAUAUUAUUGGAGUGUCCCGAGAAACUAUGUUCUUCCUAAUUGAACCAGGAAGGGAUUUUUCUGAGGGCGUUACUUGAAAAUAGAAUCUCAUAGUGAUUAUUUUGUAAUCUUUAGAUAUGAUAACAAUUAGUUUAUAAACACAUCGUGCUCUGACUAUCGGAUACGAUUAUCUGCUGCGACAUUGUGAGAGAUCCUACUCUCUAAUAGAUAAGCAUUCUUAACUUAUAUACAAUUUACAAUUGUAAUACAAGAAGUAUACUUGUUACGAUUAAUCGAAGGGCAUUCGAUAAUGAUUAGUUUAUAUCCACUAAAUCAAUACAAUACUAUUAUUGCGGGUGCGAACAUUGGUCCUUUGAACCGGAUCCUUGGUAGAUUUAAGCAAAUACAAGUGUGAAAAAACCAAUUACUAUUGAGAUUGGGCAAGCAUACAUUCUACCAGAAAGAGAAUUACUUCUGAAUCUUUUCUGAAGGAUAACAUUCAACGGACAUUAGACUCCUGCAAAUGGCCAGGUUCCAGACAACGAAGAGUGAUUAAGCGAUACCUGUCUUCAAUUCUAUUUAUGUUUGCCGAAUAUUGUGGAUUUAAAAUGCAUAAGAAGAAAAUUAUCAGUGUAAAUUAAAUCUGACUAUUUAUUCGAACACGUUUCCUGAUGAUCAACACACAAUGGAGAUUAUUUGCUGCAAGCGGCAUUUAUUGAGACUUCGAUCAACGAUAAUAACCUUCACUGAAUUACUCGUUAACAUGGCGUAAUUUUUUGAUUCAUCAACGAAAGACUUGACAAUCAUUUCCAAGAUCAACGAGAACGGAUAUUAUCAUUUCGGUUUUUCCGGUGAAUUGAAUUGUUCAUUAUAUUUCUUGACUUAAACAUUAUAUAUAAGUUAAGUUGUGUAUAUGAUAGAUUCAGAGAUUAAUCGGUGAGCGUGGUCGCGUCCAGGCCAGUCUAAUCGAUUAAAGAAUUUUUGCGUCACGCAUGGAAAAUUCACUAAGCCUGUCUUCUUCAGAAGCGGUUAAAUCAAAAUAUUUCAUUAAUUAAUAAAUUCGUGGUAAUUCAAGAUUACAUAGAAUUGUUUAUUAUGAACAUCAGAUGAGAAGAUGCAUCGCAAAAAUUAUUUCCGCAAAAAUUUUGAGAAAUAUAUGUAUUUCGACAUGAUAAAAUUAUAUAAUUUUCACGAAUAAAAUUUCACGAAUAAAAUUGAUCAUAUACAACGCGUGAAGAUAUAUUCAACGUCUUGUCAAUUUUUCGUAAAUAUGUCUUCUGCGAUAGCCGAAUCGUUGACAUCGAUUCAAAUGACUUUGGUCUCUUCUUCGAGUAUUCGUAACGAGCGUGGAGAAUAGGUCUUCAACAGUCAGAAAAACAAUUCAGUGCUAUUCAAUUGAUGCAGUUAAAGGAAACGGAAGAUUCGAAAUAUGAUGAAUCAAUCAACUCCGCGCGUCGUAGCUUACGUGUCAUAGAAUCGAACAUGAAAUAUCGUUCCUAUCGAUCAUCAUGAAAUCUCGAUUAUGGCUAUUAACGAUUUCAAUAAGUUCGCGCGAAUUAAAGGAAAUUCCAUCGCAUAAUCUAAAACAAGAAUCCGCAAAGCUGUUCACAUUGCGAGAGAAUUUCGAGCUCAUUGCAAGAAAACACAUUAUGUUAUAUAACGGAAAUAUCAUCGCCAUUAAAAAUUACCGUGAAUGAUGAAUUCAAUUCGCGUGUUCUCAAAGUAUCGAAUACCAAUUCCAAGAUGCGAGUAGUAUCCGAAGGCUUCAUGAAAUAGAAUGUCAUUGAUUGAUGUAACAAUUAUCCAAAACGACUUUCUGUCGAUUUUUCUUUAUGUUUAACUAUCUAACGUCUUUUUAUACAUCGACAUAAAUACUCUGUAUCAGUACAUUGUAAAAUCAUUUUAAUCUCUUCAACGCAGAGAAAAUUUCUUGUGAAAAAAAAAAUGCUAAAUGGUUUGUAAAACUGUUUAAAUUAAUCAUUGUCGCAUACGACACCAUUUCAACUCCAUCUCAACUAUUCAUUCGUGAAUACGUCUGGACAAAUUCAACUUCGUUACCAAGAACGAAAAUUCGCGAAACUUUCGAUGUUAUAUGAAUUAUGUUUCCAUCAUACAGAAAUACGUCACAUCGAAUCACAUGAUCAGCAUAUUUUUGAAAUUGGAAAUUAUCAUAAAACGCGAUUUCUAUCCGUGAUUAUCAUAUCAAUGAUUAAAAAAGAAGCAUUACUACCAAGACUCGGACAAUAUCUCGAAAGUUGACUUCAUUCAGUACAGAUAUUCCAACAAAAUCUUUCAAUAUUAAAAAUAUUACCGAUUUUGAUGGGGAUUUCUAAGUUAAUGAUAAUUUAUUUCGAUGAAUCAUCUAUCACAAUGGAACAAGCACGCAACAAGUUUACGGUAAGGAUUGACGUGGACAUGUUUGGUUGUAUAACUCCAAAGUUUCAACUCGAAACAAUUAAGAAUCUCCUUAGGAUUAUAUUUUUAAGUACAUGAAUUUUACAACGGAUGAUUAUCAAUAAACAAUUCAUUUCAUUAUAUGUUCCAUAUUUGGGAUUAUGGAAGAUCACAAGAAAUUUGAUAAUUCAGUCUUUAUUGUCAAGCGUCGAUGAGUUUCAUUACAUUUUAGCACAGUUCAAGAUUUGCAUGAAUUCUCAUCAUCCGUUCUAUUCGUUUUUAUAAAACAUAUUCUAUUGUAUCUUGAACGUUUCUUAAUAGAAGAUUCUUAAAUUAUUCUCAUCUGUUUUGACAUCAAGAAGAAUCAUUUGAAUGAAUUUCAUUUAUUCAAGAUGAUGCGAUUGUAACGAGAAAAAGUUUGGUAGCAUGAUUAUCCCAAACUACUUCAACAGCGAAGCAAAGAAUUAUGCGUUACUGUCAUAAGAAUUACCAUAAGUAUAGACACGAAGAUCGUAAUCCAUGAGAAAACUCUUCAGUUCCUGCUGUGGAAGGAAGAUUAUGGAGUGUCAUGGAGUGGCAUCAUGAAGAAACCAACAUUAUAUGAGGAAUGUCAUUUGGUGUUCAUUGAUUAUUACGAAUUGGCGUUCUACCUGGUGCGGGUCCAUCUCUCAAGGCAAUUAAGUAAGAGCCUGUUAAUAAGCCUUACUGAUGAGUCUUAUGGCAGGCUCCAGGACAAAACGCUUUCCUUCUCCUUUUUUUUUUUCUAUCAUUUCUCCUUCUUUUUUAAAGUUUUUUAAGUAAAUAGAGCAUUGGAUCAAGAUGAGGCUUAGGCUAAAAUAGUUCGAAAUAUGACAUUGUUUACCGCAAACUGUUUACCACAAACUAUGGAUUUUACAAGACUUUAAGAAGACUAUUAUAAGUCGUCAUUUAGCAUAUUCGCGUCUUGACAGAGUUUCAAUAUAAUAUUCGCCACAUUGUUCUACAGGUUACUACACAUUUGCAGCAAUUGAAUGACAGUCUUUCUUAUUAUGUCCAUCAUUAUCGAGAAGUAACAAUCUCUUUUAAAUACUUCGCAAGAUACGAGAGAGAGAGAGAGAGAGAGAGAGAGAGAGAGAGAGAGAGAGAGAGAGAGAGAGAGAGAGCAUUAAUCAUCUACUCUCUCCAUUAUUCCAAUGUCCGUUUAUUGUGUCUCAAUUGUUUAAAGACUUUAAGUUUAAUAUAUUGUGUAAAUUGAUCAUACGUGUCAAUUACCAUAUAAC